rnacentral:tRNA from 1 species
GUUGACCUGGCCGAACUGGCGCGGCCGCCGAUGAACGCGGUGGUGAAGGUCGGCGGCGCCAGCGGCGCGUUCGUGUCGAAGGACGGCC